GACGUAGGGCGCGAGCGUUGUCCGGAUUUAUUGGGCGUAAAGAGCUCGUAGGCGGCUCAUUGCGUCAACCGUGAAAACCAGCAGCUCAACUGUUGGCUUGCGGUUGAUACGGGUGGGCUGGAGUUCGGUAGGGGAGACUGGAAUUCCUGGUGUAGCGGUGAAAUGCGCAGAUAUCCGGAGGAACACCGGUGGCGAAGGCGGCUUCCUGGACCGACACUGACGCUGAUGCGCGAAAGCUAGGGGAGCGAACGGG
rnacentral:rRNA from 1 species